GACGAACGCUGGCGGCGUGCCUAAUACAUGCAAGUAGAACGCUGAAGAGAGGAGCUUGCUCUUCUUGGAUGAGUUGCGAACGGGUGAGUAACGCGUAGGUAACCUGCCUGGUAGCGGGGGAUAACUAUUGGAAACGAUAGCUAAUACCGCAUAAAAUUGAUUAUUGCAUGAUAAUUAAUUGAAAGAUGCAACUGCAUCACUACCAGAUGGACCUGCGUUGUAUUAGCUAGUUGGUGAGGUAACGGCUCACCAAGGCGACGAUACAUAGCCGAACUGAGAGGGUGGUCGGCCACACUGGGACUGGGACACGGCCCAGACUCCUACGGGAGGCAGCAGGAGGGAAUCUUCGGCAAUGGGGGGAACCCUUGCCGAGCAACGCCGCGUGAGUGAAGAAGGUUUUCGGAUCGUAAAGCUCUGUUGUAAGAGAAGAACGGGUGUGAGAGUGGAAAGUUCACACUGUGACGGUAUCUUACCAGAAAGGGACGGCUAACUACGUG
rnacentral:rRNA from 1 species